UGGGAUUCGGUCUCCAACCCUUCAAGACUAAACCAAGCAACUAGGGAUAUAAUGAACUAUUGUGUGAUUAAUAUGGAUAUGAAGAAUAGCACGCAACACGGCCAAACAACCAACUCGGACUUGAGCUGCUCAUCGAUUGGAACUCGGCCUUUAACAAGAUCAGGACUCGGUCUCGACCAACCCUAGCACAAUGACGCGCAUAGUUAGCCGAGUCCAUGUUGGACUU
rnacentral:lncRNA from 1 species